UGCAAGUCGAACGAAGUAGCAAUACUUAGUGGCAGACGGGUGAGUAACAUGUGGGUAUCUGCCCUUUGGCCUGGAAUAACACGAGGAAACUUGUGCUAAUACCGGAUAAGUCUUUACGGAGAAAGCUUUAUGCACCAUUGGAUGAGCCCGCACUUGAUUAGUUUGUUGGUGGGGUAAUGGCCCACCAAGACUGUGAUCAAUAGCUGAUUUGAGAGGAUGAUCAGCCACAUUGGGACUGAGACACGGCCCAAACUCCUACGGGAGGCAGCAGUGGGGAAUCUUGCACAAUGGAGGAAACUCUGAUGCAGCGAUGCCGCGUGAGUGAAGAAGGCCCUUGGGUUGUAAAGCUCUUUCGUCGGGGAAGAAAAUGACUGUACCCGAAUAAGAAGGUCCGGCUAACUUCGUGCCAGCAGCCGCGGUAAUACGAAGGGACCUAGCGUAGUUCGGAAUUACUGGGCUUAAAGAGUUCGUAGGUGGUUGAAAAAGUUGGUGGUGAAAUCCCAGAGCUUAACUCUGGAACUGCCAUNCAAACUUUUCAGCUA
rnacentral:rRNA from 1 species